GCUCAAUACAGCUUGAUGCAAGACAGCAAUGAUUAACUUGGAUUCCUCCCCUGUCUCUGACACGCCUCAGAGCAAAUCACCCCGAUAAAAGACUUCUUUUUCCCCUAAUAAAACAAAACUCGCCCUCAAAUAACAGAUGAUUAAGAAGCAGAGGAUGGAAUGGAAAGCUGUGGCAGCACUGGGAUGCUGACUCAGGUGCCUCAGUGUCCCCACCUCCAGGAGUGGAAGAAGGAGCCUACAGCGGUGCUUUCUGCAGGCAUCUGUCCCAGGGACACACGAGCAAAGGACAGAACAGCUCUCAACUGAUGGCAUCCCUGCAUUUCCAGAUGCGCACACACACACCUGUAGGAAAAGACUCAAUCUCUGCCAUGGCUGGAGCACUCUUCAUUUGAACAAUAACCACGGAUGUGCUGGGGUGCAGGCAAAGCACAGCGGUGCCCUUGGGGCACACACCUCUCCAGGCAGUUUGUGCUCAGCCCCAGCUCUGCUUGGGCGCUGCGCAGUGCAGUGAGCCCAUUCCUACCACCUGUAGCCCUGGGUCACGGAACAGGAGCUGAGGAACGGGGUCAUCCCUGAGGUCCUUCCCAACCCAACCCGUUCUGUGAUGCCACAGUCCACAGGGAGCUGCAGGUGCCC